rnacentral:rRNA from 1 species
GAUGAACGCUGGCGACGUGGAUAAGGCAUGCAAGUCGAACGAAGAUCUAGCUUGCUAGAUCUUAGUGGCGAACGGGUGAGUAAUACAUAAAUAAUCUGCCCAUAUGACUGGGAUAACUAUUGGAAACGAUAGCUAAUACCGGAUAGGUUGAUCGGAGGCAUCUCUGAUGAAUUAAAGUAGGAUUUCUACACAAAUGGAUGAGUUUAUGGCGCAUUAGUUAGUUGGUGGGGUGACGGCCUACCAAGACGAUGAUGCGUAGCCGACCUGAGAGGGUGACCGGCCACACUGGGACUGGGACACGGCCCAGACUCCUACGGGAGGCAGCAGUAGGGAAUUUUCGGCAAUGGGCGCAAGCCUGACCGAGCAACGCCGCGUGAGUGAUUAAGGCCUUCGGGUUGUAAAGCUCUGUUGUAAGGGAAGAACAUUCAGGAUAGGAAAUGAUCUUGAACUGACGGUACCUUACCAGAAAGCCACGGCUAACUACGUGCCAGCCGCCGCCGUAA